rnacentral:rRNA from 1 species
CAGCCGCCGCGGUAAUACAGAGGGUGCAAGCGUUAAUCGGAAUUACUGGGCGUAAAGCGUGCGUAGACGGUUACAUAAGUCGGGUGUGAAAGCCCCGGGCUCAACCUGGGAAUUGCAUUCGAGACUGCGUAGCUAGGGUGCGGAAGAGGGAAGCGGAAUUUCCGGUGUAGCGGUGAAAUGCGUAGAUAUCGGAAGGAACACCAGUGGCGAAAGCGGCUUCCUGGUCCAGCACCGACGUUCAGGCACGAAAGCGUGGGGAGCAAACAGGAUUAGAUACCCUGGUAGUCCACGCCAUAAACGAUGAGAACUAGACGUUGAAGGGGUAAGCCCUCCAGUGUCGUAGCUAACGCGCUAAGUUCUCCGCCUGGGGAGUACGGCCGCAAGGUUGAAACUUAAAGGAAUUGGCGGG